rnacentral:lncRNA from 1 species
GGACGGAGGGUGGCUGAAGGGACGAGGGGGUGACACAGGGACAGAGGGGACAGCAGAGCCCUCCAGGGAUGGGACAAACGGGACCCUGGGAGGGCACAGGGGCCACCCCAGGAGGCCACAAGUGCCACCAGGUCCCUGCCACCUCCCCUGUCCCUUCCACAGCUGCUGGAGGCGUUGGUGGACGUGGUCACCACCCUGGAAAGGGUGGCAGCCACCGUGGCUGGGCCAUACGGGGAUGUGCUGCUGACCCCAAGGGGGGUGUCCCCAAGGUCCCUGCACACGGCCCUGGGGACCUUCAUCAGUCAUCUCCAGGACACNNNNNNNNNNNNNNNNNNNNUACUACCAGCUGUGCCACAGGCUUGCAUGUCACCCGAGUGUCCCCCGGCCGUGUCCCUGCCCUGUCCCUUGAGGUCAUGGAGCCCCGUGAGCUGCUGGAGGCGCUGGUGGACGUGGUGGCCACCCUGGGUGAGCUGGCAGCCAGCAUUGCUGGGCCGGAUAGGGACGUGAGGCUCGGCAUUUUCCCAGGAUCCCUGCACAAGGCCCUGGACCCCUUCAUCAGUGACCUCCAGGACAACCUGGGCCACCACGGUCACACCUCCCUGGGCCAGGCCCUGGCUGCCUUUAGGGCCAACCUGGGGGCCACCUGGGCCCAUGUGACAGCUGCAGCCAGUGCCUGGCGGGGCUCGGUGGCCAAGCUCGAGGACAGCUGGGCCCAGCUGGCCAGGGAGGCCACUGAGCUCAAAGAUGCCUGCAGGGACGCAGCCACUGGGGAGGCCACCACUGCGGCCACCGCCAACACCCGGGCCAGGGACCUGCAGGGCACGGCCACCCGCUGGGAGCCAUCUCUGCACAACCUGGUGGCUGAGGUCUGGCAGCUGCCGCUGGCCCUGGACAAGGAGGAGGCAGCCUCAGCGGUGGCCACACAUGAGGCCCGGGUGGCAGCAGCCACCAAUGAGGUGGUGGCGGCCACCAAGGCCAAGGAAGAGGCCAUGGUGGCUGCCAGCGAGGCUGGGGCAGCCACCAGGAGGGGACAGAGGGCAGAAGCAGCCCUGGGGCUGCUGGAGCACUUGGUGGCUGCAUGUGACAAAGCCACCACAUUCCCCAAGGAGCUGCAGCGCCAGCUCUGGGACAUCGAGGCCACCCUGAAGGGGACAAAUCAGGCAUCCCCCGAUGUCCCUGAGACCUUGGUGGCCAAGGUGGCCAAUGCUGAGCUGCUGUGGGAGGCCAGUGCCCGCCUGGCUACGCGUCACCUAGUGGGGACACUUGGGGACAUCCGCAGACUCCUCUCGAGUCGCCCUGGUGCCCACACAGUGACCGAGCGGUGCCAAAGAGCCAUGGAGGACAUCCCGAGGCUGCUGCAGGGACAGUGA